GACGAACGCUGGCGGCGUGCUUAACACAUGCAAGUCGAGCGGUAAGGCCCUUUCGGGGUACGACGAGCGGCGAACGGGUAGGAGUAACACGUGGGUGGACCUCGCCCUCCAGCUCUGGGAGUAAGACCGUCGGGAAACCGGGGUACCGUAAUAACUGGAUAUGACUCCAUGACGCAUGUUGUGGGGUGGAAAGACCUUGUGCGGCUGAGGAUGGGCCCGCGGCCUAUCAGCUUGUUGGUGGGGUGA
rnacentral:rRNA from 1 species